rnacentral:lncRNA from 1 species
UCGAAAAUAGGAAUGCAUUUUCAUUUGGAAAUUCGGUGAGUUUGAGAGCGAGCCUCUCCAUGGUGGACACGUUAACAAACUCACAUGCAGUAUCAAUGGAGAGUCUUCGGAGCAUGAGCCAAGGAACAUCACCCUGUCGUUGUUGUUCCUUAGGUUUAGAUGGGUAACUUAAAGAUACAGAUUCCCAAUUUUUGCAAACAAAAGCUACUCGAGCACUAUCAGCAAUGUUCAACCUAUCCUUAAUCAUCCAUAGGAGUAGUGACGGGAUGUGUGACCAUCUUUCUUCUUCGUCAUCUUUUUUCAUGUUGCCAUCAUCCAUUUUGAGUUUUUUUGCAUUCAACAUGAGAUCAGAUCAACCUAAAGAUGAAGUCAACUCAGUUUAUUAGCUUAGAGGAAAAGCAAAUAAGAAAAUUAAAACUUAAUUUGAAGCAAAGAAACAAAGUUACAAAAAAGGGGUUUUGGGGAUACUUUGCAAGUUAACUCGAUCGGUAGAGUAUAUCUAUUUAUAUUUAUAUAUUUAUAUAGGGUAAAAUUAAUCUAAGACUUCAUGUCUUAAUAGUAUUACACUUCAUAUCCAGUAUCCACAUUAAAAAGAAUUUACCAGCUAUCAAGUAAAACUUCCAAACCGAAAUUGCUCAAAUUCUGCAGACCAAGAAGAAGAGAUGCUGCAGUCCUGUCAGAAACGAAGAUAUAUAAGCAAUAAUAACAAUUUGAAGGAAAUAUUAUGAAAACGAAUUAACAAUUCACAACAAGGGUUUAUAAUUCGACCUUAAUUUUAGAGCUUUAUGUUUGUCGAGAGUUGAGACUAGAAUAAGGAAGAAAUAGAGCAUGAAAGAGAUGGUUGUGAUUUGUGAAUUGUGUGAUUGAGCGACGAAUGGCUUAUUUAUCUGCUUCAUUCGUUUGUUGAUUGACUAUUUCACCCUUAAGGUCGGUAAAAAUCUAGG